rnacentral:rRNA from 1 species
AUUGAACGCUGGCGGCAGGCUUAACACAUGCAAGUCGAGCGGGGAAGGUAGCUUGCUACCGGACCUAGCGGCGGACGGGUGAGUAAUACUUAGGAAUCUGCCUAUUAGUGGGGGACGAACGUUUCGAAAGGGACGCUAAUACCGCAUACGUCCUACGGGAGAAAGCAGGGGAUCUUUAUGACCUUGCGCUAAUAGAUGAGCCUAAGUCGGAUUAGCUAGUUGGUGGGGUAAAGGCCUACCAAGGCGACGAUCUGUAGCGGGUCUGAGAGGAUGAUCCGCCACACUGGGACUGAGACACGGCCCAGACUCCUACGGGAGGCAGCAGUGGGGAAUAUUGGACAAUGGGGGGGAACCCCGUGAUCCAGCCAUGCCGCGUGUGUGAAGAAGGCAUUUUUGUUGUAAAGCACUUUAAGCGAGGAGGAGGCUCUUUAGGUUAAUACCCUGAAUGAGUGGACGUUACUCGCAGAAUAAGCACCGGCUAACUCUGU